GGCGGCCCACUCUGUUGUAUAUACCCUGACUCUGCGUGCAAUGAACGGAAGAGACGUGACAAGUUUAAUAUUGAUAUUUCCCUAGUUUAAUAUUGAUAUUUCCCUAGUUUAAUAUUGAUAUUUCCCUAGUUUAAUAUUGAUAUUUCCCUAGUUUAAUAUUGAUAUUUCCCUAGUUUAAUAUGAUUAUUUCCCUAGUUUAAUAUUGCCUGCUAACAUUAACUUAUUUUAACUAAAUAUGCAGGUUUAAGAAACAUAUAUACUUCUUUGUAUUGAUUUUAAGAAAGGCAUUGAUGUUUAUUGUGAGGUACAUUGAGGUUUAUGAUGAGGUACAUUGAUGUUUAUGAUGAGGUACAUUGAUGUUUAUGGUGAGGUACAUUGAUGUUUAUGGUGAGGUACAUUGAGGUUUAUGGUGAGGUACAUUGAUGUUUAUGAUGAGGUACAUUGAUGUUUAUGGUGAGGUACAUUGAUGUUUAUGGUGAGGUACAUUGAGGUUUAUGGUGAGGUACAUUGAGGUUUAUGGUGAGGUACAUUGAGGUUUAUGGUGAGGUACAUUGAGGUUUAUGGUGAGGUACAUUGAUGUUUAUGGUGAGGUACAUUGAGGUUUAUGGUGAGGUACAUUGAUGUUUAUGAUGAGGUACAUUGAUGUUUAUGGUUAGGUACAUUGAGGUUUAUGGUGAGGUACAUUGAGGUUUAUGGUUAGGUACAUUGAUGUUUAUGGUUAGGUACAUUGAGGUUUAUGGUUAGGUACAUUGAUGUUUAUGGUUAGGUACAUUGAUGUUUAUGGUGAGGUACAUUGAGGUUUAUGGUUAGGUACAUUGAUGUUUAUGGUUAGGUACAUUGAUGUUUAUGGUUAGGUACAUUGAUGUUUAUGGUUAGGUACAUUGAUGUUUAUGGUUAGGUACAUUGAGGUUUAUGGUUAGGUACAUUGAGGUUUAUGGUUAGGUACAUUGAUGUUUAUGGUUAGGUACAUUGAUGUUUAUGGUUAGGUACAUUGAUGUUUAUGAUGAGGUACAUUGAUGUUUAUGGUUAGGUACAUUGAUGUUUAUGGUGAGGUACAUUGAUGUUUAUGGUUAGGUACAUUGAUGUUUAUGAUGAGGUACAUUGAUGUUUAUGGUUAGGUACAUUGAUGUUUAUGGUUAGGUACAUUGAUGUUUAUGGUUAGGUACAUUGAUGUUUAUGGUUAGGUACAUUGAUGUUUAUGGUGAGGUACAUUGAUGUUUAUGGUUAGGUACAUUGAUGUUUAUGAUGAGGUACAUUGAUGUUUAUGAUGAGGUACAUUGAUGUUUAUGGUUAGGUACAUUGAUGUUUAUGGUGAGGUACAUUGAUGUUUAUGGUUAGGUACAUUGAUGUUUAUGGUUAGGUACAUUGAGGUUUAUGGUGAGGUACAUUGAUGUUUAUGAUGAGGUACAUUGAUGUUUAUGAUGAGGUACAUUGAUGUUUAUGGUGAGGUACAUUGAUGUUUAUGGUGAGGUACAUUGAGGUUUAUGGUGAGGUACAUUGAGGUUUAUGGUGAGGUACAUUGAUGUUUAUGGUGAGGUACAUUGAUGUUUAUGGUGAGGUACAUUGAUGUUUAUGGUGAGGUACAUUGAUGUUUAUGGUUAGGUACAUUGAUGUUUAUGGUGAGGUACAUUGAGGUUUAUGGUUAGGUACAUUGAUGUUUAUGGUGAGGUACAUUGAUGUUUAUGGUUAGGUACAUUGAUGUUUAUGAUGAGGUACAUUGAUGUUUAUGGUGAGGUACAUUGAGGUUUAUGGUUAGGUACAUUGAUGUUUAUGGUGAGGUACAUUGAGGUUUAUGGUGAGGUACAUUGAUGUUUAUGGUGAGGUACAUUGAUGUUUAUGGUGAGGUACAUUGAGGUUUAUGGUGAGGUACAUUGAUGUUUAUGGUUAGGUACAUUGAUGUUUAUGGUGAGGUACAUUGAGGUUUAUGGUUAGGUACAUUGAUGUUUAUGGUGAGGUACAUUGAUGUUUAUGGUGAGGUACAUUGAUGUUUAUGGUUAGGUACAUUGAUGUUUAUGGUUAGGUACAUUGAUGUUUAUGAUGAGGUACAUUGAUGUUUAUGGUGAGGUACAUUGAUGUUUAUGAUGAGGUACAUUGAUGUUUAUGGUUAGGUACAUUGAUGUUUAUGAUGAGGUACA